rnacentral:rRNA from 1 species
AUAUUGCGCAAUGGGGGGAACCCUGACGCAGCAACGCCGCGUGGGUGACGAAGGUCUUCGGAUCGUAAAGCUCUGUCAUCGGGGACGAAGAAGUGACGGUACCCGAGGAGGAAGCCCCGGCUAACUACGUGCCAGCAGCCGCGGUAAUACGUAGGGGGCGAGCGUUGUCCGGAAUUACUGGGCGUAAAGGGUGCGUAGGCGGCCUUAUAAGUCAGGUGUGAAAUACCAGUGCUUAACACUGGAAUUGCAUUUGAAACUGUGUAGCUUGAGUGCAGGAGAGGAAAGUGGAAUUCCUAGUGUAGCGGUGAAAUGCGUAGAGAUUAGGAGGAACACCAGUGGCGAAGGCGACUUUCUGGACUGUAACUGACGCUGAGGUACGAAAGCGUGGGUAGCGAACA